UACCAACGACACAAGCUCAUCACAUAACUUGAUUUCCAAAUACUUUAGACUAGUAAGAAUGGUGGCAUUAGUCACACUCCUGAGAAUUGCCUCUUGACAUUUUUCAAAAUGAAGUCUUGUAAGUGAUGGGAGAACUUUUGGUAAUUCAACCAAAAGCGGGCAAUCAUCGAUAACAAGAUUUUCCAGGGAAGGAAGGAAGUUGGGCAGUUCUCCAACCAACUUGGGACAAUUUCGUAUUUGGAGUUGAUGCAGCUUAGGAAAUUUUGGCACAGAAUCUUCACCCAGACCUUUAGACCAAGCCCACAGCUCCCACUCACCCAUAUUUCUAAUCUCUAGUUCUUCCAAACAAGAAAAACAUGAAUCAUCCUCAUAAAACUCAACACCCACUUCUUUCACUCCACUCAUAUCUCCUAUGCUCAACUUUUUUAAUGACUUUAAUCGUCCAAGUGGUGGCAACGAUGUCAUUUGGCGACACUUCCAUAGCUGCACCUGCACCAUGCCAGAGAAUGAAGGCUCACCCAGCCAUGAUGGGAAUUUCCUACCACCAAAUGAUGUAAUUGAUAGGCUUGAAAGACUUCGAUAUGGCUGAAUUGAGUUGAGAACUUGUUCUUCAUGACUUGGGUUUCUCAAAUCAUCGAAACGUUCAUCAGCUUCAGCCCAUUCCAAGUGCAACUCAGUGAUACCAGGCUUAUCCUUCAAAUUGACAAAACCCGCAUCUCGAAUAUCUGCUACUUCCACAUUCUCUAAACUUGUAAUAUGAAGCUGCCCUCGAAGAUCACAAAGUUUCUUUAGUUCUGUGAUCCGACCAUUGCUUUUCCCCACGAUAAAUUUGGUCAACACGCAGAGACUAGUCAAAUUACCAAUAUGUGGUGGCAUCUCUUUCAAUUUCCUUGUGCCAAUAAUGUCAAGAUGCUGCAAGUUGAGUAAAUUGCAUAUGCCUUUAGGUAACUCAAUAAGCUCAUCACAAUCACGCAACUUUAAUGUCUGUAAGUUGAAGAGUUUAUCCACUGAUUCAGGCAAUCCUUGGAUUGGAGUAUCAGAUAGGUUAAGGUAGCGUAAGUGCUUCAAGUCACCAAUAGAAUUUGGCAACUCCUUAAUCUCAUAACGAGCUAGAGAUAGUGACCUUAAGCAUUUUAAUUUUGGCACCAACUCAUGCACCACCUUACUAGUUAAGUAGCAUCUCACCAAAUAACGACGACUCCAGGAUAACAAUGUCCGCAAGUUCUUCAUUUCACAGAAGCUUUGAAAUCUUUGAAAAGUGUUCAUAAAAUGAGGAAUAAAUGAAGAAUGUCGAAUCUUUGCAAAUGAUUUUGUACUCUCCAACUUAUCAACCAUAUGUAAACAUGUUUCCCUACUAACAUAGCGAGCUAAAUCAACAAUUAGGUCAUGCAUUAUAUAUUUCGAUUUAUUAUCAUUUGAUUGUUGAAAAAACGAUCUUGAUAAUAAAUCAUCAAAAUAUUUAUGACCCAAACCUUCACUGUCUUUCAUUUUCUUCUGGUCAUACAAGAAACCCUCAGCCAUCCACAGCAAAACCAAUUCAUUCCUAUCAAACUCGCGAUCCUUUGGUAGUAUUGCGCUAUAAGAGAAACAUCGCUUCAAAUGAGGUGGAAGAUGAAGAUAGCUCACUCUCAAGGCUGGAAGGAUAUUGCUCUUGUCGUCUGGUAACUCCCAUAUCUCAUUCCUCAACACUUCCUUCCACAAAUCAGGAUUCGGUUUACCCCUUAAGAUGCCUCCAAGAGCUUUUGCUGCCAAAGGUAAUCCUCCACAUCUUUCGACAAUCUCGUCACCCAUUUGUUUCAGCUCCAAGUGCGCGUCAAAAUUAUUUGCUCCCAAAGCAUGCUGGGCAAACACAGACAUGCAUUCAUUGUGCGACAGCUUCUUAAGAGCAUAUGCUUGAGUCGUACCCAUCAUUAAUGAAACAUCCUGAAUUCGAGUCGUGACGAUAACUCUGCUUUGAGGAGCCCCUGCUUCAAAAGGACCCCAAAACAGAGUCCAUUCCUCAUAGUUCUGGGUCCAGACAUCAUCUAGGACAAGUAAAAACUUCUUCCCAGACAACUUUUGCUUCAAUUUUACCUGAAGCAGAUUCAAAUCUUUAUCAUCACCGCCAUCGCCCAGUUGACGAAGAAAUGUUUCUGUGACCCUGGAAACAUCAAAAUCUUCGCCAACAGAAACCCAGGCUUUCAAAUCAAACUCCAACGUGGGAUCAUUGUAGACUAGCUGAGCUAGGGUUGUCUUGCCAAGCCCUCCCAUCCCAACUAUGGGAAUCACAGAGACCUCCGCAUCACUUGUCUGAGCAUUCAACAAUUUCAGCAUCGCCUUCUUAUCUUCCUCCCUACCAUAAACCUUCGCUUCAUUAACCAAAGAGGUUGCAGGCGGUCUUUCUGUCACAUGGCUCACCCUCCUCGUAGUAUAUUCUGCUAAACGGAGUUCAUCUUUCUGCUUUAUGAUCUCAUCUAAUCUUGCACUAGUUUCCUCUAUUUUGGCAACCAUCUCAACAUUGAACUUAAUAGUAUUUAGAUUUAGAUUUCCCCCACGAAGCAUAACAGAGAUAAACUCGUGGACCUUAUGCUUCUUCUCCGGAUGAACAGGUUCCUCUUCCAACUUGCGUUGCUGAACCUCCGUGGCAAGUUCAUCAAUGAUAUCCUCCAGGUCGUAAGCCAAGUCUCUGAGAUCGCAUAACCAGAUCUCCACCAAUCGAUUUGCCGUCUGCUUCUCCUCCGCAUCUUCAAGCACCGCAUAAAUUCUCUUGAGAAUCUUUUCCCACUUCAUGAGUUGAGCCAAGACUUGACCUUGGCCUACGUAUUUCUUCAAGUCAAUGGAGUUCAACCUGUCGAGAAGCCCCUGAAACCAACCAGAGAGGAUAGAGCCAGCAGCAGCUACCGCAAAAUCCAUAGCAAAGAAUGAGUUGUAAGAGAAGAAAGAAGCUACGAACUCUGAAGAAAUUUGGAUGAAGAAAUUUGUAAACAACUGAAAAUGAAUUAGAUAUUGCAAUUGAAUGAAGGGUGCAGAGCUCAACAGACAUGGAGUCCCUACCAAAUUAAUGGACCACUGGUAUGCGAAUGACCUGAGAAAUUAAUUGGGUUAUGGUGGGUCCCACCACCUUAUCCUCUUGCAGAAGUUCUUGACUUUGUUUUCAAAUAAAUAAAGUAUAUUUUAUUUUAAUGUCUCAGUAUAUUAAUUAAUAUUAUGUAUAAAUGAUGUUAAGGAAGUGUUGUGGAAACAUACAUUUGCUAAUAGAUUUUUUUAAAAAACGAUGAAAAAAAUAUUUUAUUUUUUUAAAAGUAUAACUUAUUUAUUAUUUAAUUUUAAUUUAAAAAUAAAAUAUAUUAAUAAAUUUACAGAAGCUUGUAUAAAAUUUUCAAAAUAUAAUAAAUGACUUUUUAUUUUUUUAUUAAAAAAUAUUUUUUUAAUUAUAUUUAUUUUUAAUAUAAUAUCUAUACUUAAAAUUUUAGGCGUUUGAUUAUACUAUUAAAGAACAGCAGAAACUUAACAGCAGAUCUAUAAACAGUAAUGAUAUAAUUUUUAUAAUAAAUAUAAUAAAAUUUAUUAUAAUAAAAUAUUUAAAAAAUAAAAAAUUAAUAAAUAUAAAACUUAUUAUAAUUUUUUUUAGUAUUAAUUAUAAAUAAAAAAGUUAAAAUUACAUCAAAGUAAAAAUUCAGAAAAAUAAAUUUAAAAAUUUUGGAUUAAAUUAUAUUAGUUUUAAAAUUUUAAAUUAAAUUAAAAAUUAAAAAUUUAAAUUUUUUAUUAAUAUUAUUUAUUACGUAAUAUAUAAAUAUAAUAAAAUAAUUUAUAAUAUUUUAUUAUUAAGAGACACUUUCUCCAUUUAAAUUUUUAUCUUAAAUAUAAUAUUAAUAAAAUUUAUAAUUUUAAAUAAUUUUAUCAAUUUAAAAAUUUUUAAAUUAAAUUGUUAAUAGUAAAAAGUUUUAAAUUUUAAUUAAUAAAUAUUACAUUUUUUUAUUAAUAAAGUCUACACACCGUGUGGAAAUUUUCAUUGAAUUUAUUUGAGAGAGAGAAAUGUCAGCAGUUGGGAAGAUGAAUGGUUGUAAGUAAGUCAAGGUCUAUAUUCAGCUUUUGCUUUGUAAAAGGGAAACAUUUUAAAAGUUGUGCAAAACGUUGUGUCGUACAAUGAAUUAUUUGAGAGAGGGAAGCCAUGGCAUAGUAGCCCUACUACUCACUAUUCGAGAUACAUGAUACGUACUGUAUACAGGUAUAUUAAAUUUUAAAAUAAUUUAUAAUUUAAUUUCUUAAUAUUAUUAUUACUAAUAAUUCAUUUUAAAAAUUUAUUAAAAUAUUUUUAACUAUUAUUUUCAUUAACGAAAUAAUUUUCUCAUCUAUUUAUAUAAUUAAAAAUAUAAAAAAUUAAAAUACCUUUUCUUCUCUCUUCUUCAUUUUUUCCAACCCCUUCUUCUUCUUCUUCGAUUUUUCCUGUCCUCUUUAUCUUUCUCCUUGUAUUCUUCCUCUCCUUUUCCUUUACUUUUUCUUCAAUUUUAAUUUUUCUUUUUCGUUUUUCUGGAAAAGUUAUAGCUUGAAUCUAAAUUAUUUGUAAACAACUGAAAAUGAAUUAGAUAUUGCAAUUGAAUGAAGGCUGCAGAGCUCAACAGACAUGGAUCAGUGGUAUGCGAAUGACCUGAGAAAUAAGGAGAGAAAAAUGGUACAAUAAUUGGGCUAUGGUGGGUCCCAAUUAUUAUAUUUUCUUUGUCUUAUUUGUAUGAGCUUAAUAUUCAAUUAAGUUUUCUUCUUUACAUUUUUUCUCAUCCACUUGACAUAUCUAUCCAUGAUCCUAUGAGUUAAUUCUAUCGUAGACUUUAUUUGGUAAUAAUUUGAUAUUUUAUAUUAAUGCCUAUCAUUUUGUAUUUUGUAUUAAUGUUUAUGAUUGGAUUAAAUUAGUUGUUGAUAUUUUAUAUUAAUUUGAUAUUAAUAUUAAUAUUUGUAUUUUAAAAAAUAUGAAAUGUAUAUCUUUUAUUUCAUUAAUAAAGUGAAUAGAGAUAUAAGUUAUUGCAUAAUUAAUGUAAAAAGGUUUAAAAUUCUAUUUAAUUUUAUAAUGUACGUGGUGUAAAUUCCGUGAAUUUUGAUUUAUCUAUAUUUAUAAGUGUUGGAUUGAAUAGAACUGAAAAUAAUCUGAAGGAUGAAAAGAGUGAGAUUUGUUAAUAAAAUCAUAUUUGUAAAGGCAUUCAACAAGGAAAAAUGAGGAUGAGAAGAUUGCAAUGUGACAGAGUUGAGAAAUUAUAUGGAUUACAUGCAAUAUGACAUCAAAAUUACAUGCAUGAAAUAAUAAAUCAAAAUUUUAAAGAAUAAAAUUGAAAAAAAUAGCUCUAAAAAAAUCAUUAUAAAAAAAGGAGUCGCAAUAAAUUCAGUGUCAUUGGACUUCUUUUUUUUUUUAUUUUAUUUUUAAUUUAAUGAUAUAUCAUUAUGAAUUUUAAAAAAUUUUAAAUAAAUACGCUAACAAAAUGACUUUUAGUUUUCUUUGAUCGAGAGAGAAUACAUUGAAUAACGAAGGGGAGAAAUAAUUCAUGGAUAAUCAAGUCAAUCAAGCAGCCAUCUCACAUAUCUAUACAUAAUUGAUGUAAAAUAUCGAAAGAUCAGCCUAUGCAACAUGUUUUGAAGAGAUUUUAAUUUACGAUUCAUGCUAUAUCAUGCAUGCAUAAUAAUUUUUCUCUUAUUCAAAUUAUCAUAAUUUUAAUUUAAAUUCAAUUAUUACGAUACAUAUGUGUUUAUUUAAAAAAAAUAAUAGCCAUCCCUUACUCUUUAAUUAUUUUCUAAAGUUGUAUUAUUAAUAAUAAUUAUAAAAUUAAUUAUGCUUUUCUCUUAUGUUAUUAUUUAUUAAUUAAUUAACAAAAUAAAAAAUUAAUGAAAUACUUCUUUUAAUUAAAAUAAAAGAUAAAUAUUUUUUAAUUUAAAGUUUUAUUCUCAUAAGAAAAUAAAAAAUUUUCUUGUAUGAUGACUUCAUUGACUAGUGGAAGUUUUGGGAGGAAAUUAGUGUAUAGGUUAUUUUCUCUGCUAUUACAUAAAGUUUCCUUGGAGAUGAGUCAUAUUUUGUAUUUAUUCUUAUUUUUAAGUUUAUUUGUUUUAAAUAAAAUAUAAAAUACUUUAAUCAUCCUAGAAUUUUAACACUAUACUGUUAUGAGCAAUUAAAUAAAGAAAUUUGUAAACAACCGAAAGUAAUAAUAUAAAUUUUAAUUAGUUAAAAUUUAAUUUCUUUACCAAAUUAAUGAGAAUCACGUGGGAGAGAAACAUGGUACAAUAAUUGGGUUAUGCUGGGUCCCACCACCUUAUCCUCUUGCAGAAGUUCUUGACUUUAUUUUCAAAUAAAUAAAUUAUAUUUUAUUUUAAUGUCUGAAUAUAUUAUUUUUGCAUUAUUUAUUAAAUUAAUAUUAUGUAUAAAUGAUGGUAAGGAAUUGUUGCGGAAACAUAUAUUUGCUAAUAGAUUUUUUAAAAAAACGAUGAAAAAAAUAUUUUAUUUUUUUAAAAGUAUAAAUUAUUUAUUAUUUAAUUUUAAUUUAAAAAUAAAAUAUAUUAAAUAAAUUUUAUUUUUUUAUUAAAAAAAUAUUUUUUAAGUAUAUUUAUUUUUAAUAUAAUAUCUAUACUUAUAAUUUUAAGCGUUUGAUUAUACUAUUAAAGAACAGCAGAAACUUAUCAGUAGAUCUAUAAACAAUAAUGAUAUAAUUUUUAUAAUAAAUAUAAUAAAAUUUAUUAUAAUAAAAUAUUUUAAAAAUAAAAAAUUAAUAAAUAUAAGACUUAUUAUAAUUUUUUUAGUAUUAAUGAUAAAUAAAAAAGUUAAAAUUAUAAUUUUUUACAUCAAGAUAAAAAUUCAGAAAAAUAAAUUUUAAAAUUUUGGAUUAAAUUAUAUUAGUUUUAAAAUUUUAAAUUAAAUUAAAAAUUAAAAAUUUAAAUUUUUUAUUAAUAUUAUUUAUUUAUGUAAUAUAUAAAUAUAAUAAAAUAUUAAGAGACACUUUCUCCAUUUAAGUUUUUAUCUUAAAUAUAAUAUUAAUAAAAUUUAUAAUUUUAAAUAAUUUUAUCAAUUUUAAAAAUUUUAAAUUAAAUUAUUAAUAGUAAAAAGUUUUAAAUUUUAAUUAAUAUAUAUUACAUUUUUUUAUUAAUAAAGUCUACACACCUAACAUGUGUGGAAAUUUUCAUUGAAUUUAUUUGAGAGAGAAAUGUUAGCAGUUGGGAAAAUGAAUGGUUGUAAGUAAGUCAAGGUCUAUAUUCAGCUUUUGCUUUGUAAAGGGGAAUCAUUCGAAAAGUCGUACAAUGAAUUAUUUGAGAGAGAGAAGCCAUGGCAUAGUAGCUCUGCUACUCACUUUUCGAGAAACAUGAUACGUACUGUAUAUAGGUAUAUUAAAUUUUAAAUUAUUUAUAAUUUAAUUUCUUAUUAUUAUUAUUAUUAUUAAUUCAUUUUAAAAAUUUAUUAAAAUAUUUUUAACUAUUAUUUUCAUUAACGAAAUAAUUUUCUCAUCUGUUUAUACCCUUAAAAAUAUAAAAAAUUAAAUUACCUUUUCUUCUCUUCUCCUCAUUUUUCCUUCUCCACUCCUUCUUCUUGGAUUUUUCCUGUCCUCUUUCUCUUUCUCCUUCUAUUCUUCCUCUCAUUUUCCUUUACUUUUUCUUCAAUUUUUCUUUUUCUUUUUUUUUUAAAAACAAACAAUAUACUUUUUUAUCAUUAUCAUCAUCUUAAAAAAGUUACUUAUUAAUCAUCAUCUUAAAAAAAUUACUUAUUAAUAAAUAAAAAUAUAUAUUUUUACAGCAUCUUAAUAAAACAUAUAUUAAUAAAAUUUAUAAAAUAUAAAGAGAUAUCAUCUCAAAUAUACAAAUUAUUAUAUCUAAUAAAUUUUCUAAAUAAAGUAUGAGUAGUUAGAAUAAUAUUACGACGAAUUUAUCAAACAGAAAAAUCAGCUCUAGAGUCUAAUAAAAAUUUAUAACCAUUCAAAAUUAAAUCCCUCCGUAAGAUAAUUUGGUAAAAAUAUUCUUUAAGUGCGUGUUUGAACCCCUGCAUAAGAUAAUUUGAUAAAAAUACUAUCUUCUUUCUCAUCUCUCAAGUGUAAAUCAUUAAAAUAUUCCAAACAAAGAUACGAAAGAAAGUUUCUACGAGAUAAAAUUCAAAUAAGAUUUCAAGACUGACGCGAUUCCGGAAAUACAUAAUAACUAGUAAACCUCCAUUAAACAUUACAUUAAACAUUACCUUUAAAACAAGUGAAUCAAUAAAAUUUGAAAAAAAGUCAACCAUAGAAAUAGACUCAUAAUUUCAUACAAGAAUUAAGAGUUUUUGUUUCCAUUAAAAAUAAAAUUUUUAACUUGUAACUAAAAACCAAAUCCUCCAAUGUAAUAACAGUUCGAGAAUUACCGCCAUAAAUCUAUUAAAAAAGCCUGCAUAUUUUGAAAAUUGAUUACAUUGUAUGCGAUAAAUAUUCUUAUCAUAUAAAAAUUAUAAGUGAUAAAUCAAAAUAUAUCUAGAACUAAAUUUAAAAUAUAUAAUGAAAAUAAUAUUAACCAUCAUAAACAUAAAAGAAAUAAGUAUUAAUUAUGGUGAUAAAUCCACUUGUAUUUUUAAAGGAAGAAUUUAAGUUUAGAGAAAAAAUUAUUAGGAGAAACAAUAAUGAAUUCUGAAAUAAUCACAAAAUAAACAAAAACGAUUUAAUAAAUUUUAAAAUAUAAUAAGGAAAAAAAGUGUAAUAUUACGAGGAGUGAAAAAAAUAUAAUGAUGAAAAGGAGAAAUUUAAUAUUGUCUCCCAAUACUCUCCUUUUGGUACAAUUUUUCUUAAAAAAAAAAUAAUUAAAUGGAUUUCACAUGCUGUAUUAAGAGAAAAAAAAAUCUUUCAAAUUUUAAUAUAAUUAAUAGAUUAAUUUUUAUAUUUUUAAAAUUAAAUAUUUAUAUGUUUCUAUAAUUAGUUCAUUCAAAUUAGGGUUCCUCCAUUGAUUUUUAUCAUUAAAAAGCAUAUAAAUGUUUUUAUUAUCUUUUUAAAUGGAUAAAUUAUAUUUAAAUUUUUAAAUUUUAACAUAAUUAAUGAAUCUAUUUUUAGUAUUUUUAGAAUUAUAUACUCAUAUCACUUUAUAAUUAGUCCGUCCUCAUCUAUUAUAAUUUAAACUUUUUAAUUUUUUAUUUUUUUAUUUGAAACAAUACUUAAAUUUUUAUUAACUUUUAUCUAUAAUAUUUUAUUUAAUUAAUUUUUAACUUUUUUUGUUAUUUAAUUUUUAUUUAUUGAAAUAUUUUAAUAUUUUUUAAAAAAUACUUAUCAUUUCAAUUAUUUUUAAGUGGUACAAAUAUCGGCUAUAAUAUCUUAUUUAAUUAAUUAUCUAUAAUAUUUUAUUUAAUUAAUCUCUAUUAAUUAUUGUCUAUAAUAUCUUAUUUAAUUAAUUUUUAACUCUUUUUAUUAUUUAAUUUUUAUUCAUUAAAAUAUUUUAAUAUUCAUAACAUCAAAACUUUGAAAAAAUAAUUACAAUUUCAGCUAUUUUUAAAUAGUACAAAAAACUCUUAAAUAAGUUGUAAAAUUUUAUAAAAAGUAUUAUAAAAAGAAAUUGUAUUUUCAGAAAAAAUUAUAAUUUUAAACCGUUUAAAUAUAGAGAGAUUUAAGGAUUUAUUUUUAAAAAUAUAAAAAUUGGUCCGUCAAUUACUCUAAAAUUUAGAGAUCAAAAUAUAAUUUAUAUAAUAUAAAAUUUCUAGUUUUGAACUAAUGGAUGAAGAGAGAUUUAAGGAUUUAUUUUUAAAAAUAUAAAGACUGGUCCGUCAAUUACUCUAAAAUUUAAAGAUCAAAAUAUAAUUUAUAUAAUAUAAAAUUUUUAUUUAAAUUGAAAAUAAUAGAUAUUUAAAAUAUUUAUUUUUUAUUUGAAUAAUUAAUUAACAAAAUUAUGGAUGAAAUAACUUUCGAACAAAAUAAUUAUAUAGAAAUUUAAGUGUUUAAUUUUAAAAAAAUAAUCAUCAAUCUAUUAAUUAUAUUAAAAUUUAAAAAUUAAAAUAUAAUUUACUUUUUAUUAUAUAAUAUUUAUUAUAUAAUAUAUAUAAUAGUAUCGAUAAUAAAAUAAUUUUUAUUUUAUUUUAUAUAUAUGUGCGUUUUUAUUAUACAAAAAGAAAAAAAAAAAUAAUUAAUAUAAUUAUUUGCAUACAAUUUCUCGAGAUGAGACCUCUCGCCACUGUAAUUACAAUGACACACAAUUCCCUCCGGCAGAGACUCCAAAGAUUCACAGCUCGUAAUAUGAAGACGAAUCAAGUUGUGCGGCAAACCCCCUGCUGGGAGGGAGACCCUUUAUAGUCAAAUCUUUGAGAGAUUUUAGGUCUUUCAGUCCACUUGGCAACUCCUUCAGAUUUGGACACCCAUAUAUAUUCAAAACUUCAAGAUUGCAAGGCAAAAGCCCUGGCUCUCCAUCUACCAACGACACAAGCUCAUCACAUAACCCGAUUACCAAAUACUUUAGACUAGUAAGACUGGUGGAAUUAGUCACACUCCUGAGAAUUGCCUCGAGACAUUUUGUAAAAUGAAGUCUUGUAAGUGAUGGGAGCACUUUUGGCAAUUCAACCAAAAGCGGGCAAUCAACGAUAAAAAGAUUUUCCAGUGAAGGAAGGAAGGUGGGCAAUUUUCCAACCAACUUGGGACAAUUUCGUAUUUGGAGUUGAUGCAGCUUAGGAAAUUUUGGCACAGAAUCUUCCCCCAGACCAUUAGACCAAGCCCACUGCUCCCACUCACGCAUAUUUCUAAUCUCUAGUUCUUCCAAACAAGAAAAACAUGAAUCAUCCUCAUAAAACUCAACACCGACUUCUUUCACUCCUCUCAUAUCUCCUAUCCUCAACUUUUUUAAUGACUUUAAUAGUCCGAGCGGUGGCAAUGAUGUCAUUUGGCGACAGUUCCAUAGCUCCACCUGCACCAUGCCAGAGAAUGAAGGCUCACCUAGCCAUGAUGGGAAUUUCCUACCACCAAAUGAUGUAAUUGAUAGGCUUGACAGACUUUGAUAUGGCUGAAUUGAGUUGAGAACUUGUUCUUCAUGACUUGGGUUUCUCAAAUCAUCGAAAUGUUCAUCCGCUUCAGCCCAUUCUAAGUGCAACUCAGUGAUACCAGGCUUAUCCUUCAAAUUGACAAAACCCGCAUCUGGAAUAUCUGCCAGUUCCACAUUCUCUAAACUUGUAAUAUGAAGCUGCCCUCGAAGAUCACAAAAAAAUUAAAUGGAUUUCACAUGCUGUAUUAAGAGAAGAAAAAAAACAAAAAAAUCUCUUUCAAUGAUUUAGGAAUUUCUAUUCUUUUAUUUUAAUUUGAAAAAUAAAAUACAAGUGGGUCGUCCGUACGAAAGUGGGUCGUCCCUCCCUUCUUCCGGGAUGAGAUUUUAUAUAGUUAGUUUUUUUUUUUUUUUUNNNNNNNNNNNNNNNNNNNNUUAGAUAUUUUUUGGUGAGGGUUUUCUUUCUUCAAAUCUGCAUGUUCUUAUUUGCUUUUGUUAAUGGUUUUCGCUGUCGCUUCAGGGACUUACUUUUGAGGUUUUAAGUGUUGGCUAAGUUUUCUUCUUCGGCUACCCCUCUGUCUAUAUGAGAUUGAGAGACAGAGGGGCUAUGCUUCCUUCUCUCUUCUUUCUCUCCUUAGAGCUCUUUUAAGGUUCUUUUAUGCGCCUUUUGUUUUUUCUUGCGGCUUUUCUCCUAGCGGGUUAGCUCCCAGAGAAUCCUGUGAAGUUGUGUUUAGGACUUCGCUGUCGCUACCUGCUGCUUCUAGCUUUUCGCUUGCGGAUGCAUGUAAAUUUGAAGUUAGUGUUCAAUUUUUAUUCAUUAAAAUAUUUUAAUGUAUAUAUAUAUAUAUAUAUUAGCACUCCAAGACUUAACCUGCUGGAAAGUGCAUUCUGUAACCUAAGUCUAAAGUUCGAUUCUCCUAACCCCUAUUUCAAAAAAAAAAUAUAAUUUAUUUAAUAUUAAAGUAUAUGUAAAAUUAAUAAUUUAUUAUAAAAUAAAUUAUAUUUUAAUUUUUAAAUUUUAAUAUAAUUAACGGAUUAAUUUUUAUAUUUUUAAAAUUAAAUAUUUAUAAUUUUCUAUAAUUAGUUCAUUCAAAUUAGAGUUUCCUCCAUUCAUUUUUAUCAUUCAAAGCAUAUAAAUAUUUUUAUUAUCUUUUUUAAAUGGAUAAAUUAUAUUUAAAUUUUUAAAUUUUUAAAUUUUAACAUAAUUAAUAGAUCUAUUUUUAGUAUUUUUAAAAUUAUAUACUUAUAUCACUUUAUAAUUAAAUACCGUUCUAUUAUAAUUUAAACUUUUUGAUAUUUCAUUUUUUUUAUUUGAAACAACACUUAAAUUUUCAUUAACUUUUAUCCAUAAUAUUUUAUUUAAUUAAUUUUUAAAUUUUUUGUUAUUUAAUUUUUAUUUAUUAAAAUAUUUUAAUAUUUUUAAAAAAAUUACUUACUAUUUCAGUUAUUUUUAAAUGGUAGAAAUAUCACCUAUAAUAUCUUAUUUAAUUAAUUAUCUAUAAUAUCUUAUUUAAUUAAUCUCCAUUAAGUAUUGUCUAUAAUAUCUUAUUUAAUUAAUUUUUAACUUUUUUUAUUAUUUAAUUUUUAUUCAUUAAAAUAUUUUAAUAUUCAUAACAUUAAAACUUUGAAAAAAUAAUUAUAAUUUCAGCUAUUUUUAAAUAGUACAAAAAACUCUUAAAUAAGUUGUAAAAUUUUAUAAAGAGUAUUAUAGAAAGAAAUUGUACUUUCAGAAAAAAUUUGACCACCUACUAGUUUUGAACUAAUGGAUGAAAAAAUUAUAAUUUUAAACAGUUUAAAUACAGAGAGAUUUAAAGAUUUAUUUUUAAAAAUAUAAAAACUGAUAUGUCAAUUACUCUAAAAUUUAAAAAUCAAAAUAUAAUUUAUAUAAUAUAAAAUUUCCACCUAAAUUAAAAAUAAUAGAUAUUUAAAAUAUUUAUUUUUUAUUUGGACAAUUAAUUAAUGAAAUUAUGGAUAAAAUAAUUUGAACAAAAUAAUUAUACAGAGAUUUAAAUAUUUAUUUUUACAAAAAUAAAAAUCGAUCUAUUAAUUAUAUUNNNNNNNNNNNNNNNNNNNNNNNNNNNNNNNNNNNNNNNNNNNNNNNNNNNNNNNNNNNNNNNNNNNNNNNNNNNNNNNNNNNNNNNNNNNNNNNNNNNNNNNNNNNNNNNNNNNNNNNNNNNNNNNNNNNNNNNNNNNNNNNNNNNNNNNNNNNNNNNNNNNNNNNNNNNNNNNNNNNNNNNNNNNNNNNNNNNNNNNNNNNNNNNNNNNNNNNNNNNNNNNNNNNNNNNNNNNNNNNNNNNNNNNNNNNNNNNNNNNNNNNNNNNNNNNNNNNNNNNNNNNNNNNNNNNNNNNNNNNNNNNNNNNNNNNNNNNNNNNNNNNNNNNNNNNNNNNNNNNNNNNNNNNNNNNNNNNNNNNNNNNNNNNNNNNNNNNNNNNNNNNNNNNNNNNNNNNNNNNNNNNNNNNNNNNNNNNNNNNNNNNNNNNNNNNNNNNNNNNNNNNNNNNNNNNNNNNNNNNNNNNNNNNNNNNNNNNNNNNNNNNNNNNNNNNNNNNNNNNNNNNNNNNNNNNNNNNNNNNNNNNNNNNNNNNNNNNNNNNNNNNNNNNNNNNNNNNNNNNNNNNNNNNNNNNNNNNNNNNNNNNNNNNNNNNNNNNNNNNNNGAAGACUAGUGGUCAAACCAUUAACUUUGCCAAAUCUUUUUUAUUCUUCAGCCCUAAUAUUCCAACACAGGUUAAGGGAGAUAUUGCAUCAUGUAGGCCUACCAACAGCUAUCACUACAUCUAAAUCUCAAUCAUUUGCAAAAAUUAGAGAUCAAAUCUAGAGAAAGGUUACCAAUUGGAAAGGGAAGAUGCUGUCACAAGGAGCUAGAGAAGUUUUAAUUAAAUUAGUAGCCUUAGCAAUCCCAACUUAUGCAAUGAGUCGCUUUCGACUGCAUUCAUCUUUUUGUCAAUUAGUCAAUAGCUUGUUAGCAAGGUUUUUGUAGGGUAAAAAAGAAAAUGAAAGAAAAUUCACGAGAUUUCAUGGGCAAAAAUGUGCAAACCAAAGGCAGAUAUUUCUCUUACUCAUAUUUUAUGCAAGCUAUACAAGGUUCUAGACUAUCUUGGACAUGGCAAAGUAUAUUGUGGAGUCGACAAGUCCUAGAAAAAGGGAUCCGGUGGAAUGUCAUUGAUGGAAAUUCUAUCUUAUGCAAAUAGGAAAAUUGGAUCCCAAAAACCUUCCCUCGAAUCUCUACAGUGAAGCAAGAUCUGGAGCUAUCAAUACAUUAGGUAUCCUAAUUGUUAGACAUUGCUUCUCACCCUUGGGACAUCCAAAAAUUGAAAGGAGUUUUCGAAGAUGUUGAAAUCAAAAAUAUUAUGGCAAUUCUGAUCAAUCCGUUUAGAGGAGAGGAUGAACGUGACUAGCACUUCUCGAAAUUAGGAGAAUAUUUAGUCAAAUUCGGAUACUAGAUAGCUUGUAAUUUAAGGGACAGACUUCUAGUUAGAACAAAUUACAGUGAAUCAAUACUGUACAAAUGGUGAUAUUUAGACUUGGCAAGAGCUAUGGAAGCUAAAACUCCCUCUAAAGCUUUCAAUCUUCAUGUGAAAGUUCCUUCAUGACCAUCUACCAACAAAUGAGAGGCUGCACAAUUUGGGAAUCUCUUCGUGCUCUAAUCAUAAGCUUUAUGGUAUGACAGAAUCAUCAGGCCAUAUUUUCUUCCUAUGUCCUCGAGCAGUACAAGUUUGAUUGAUCUCGCUUUUAAUGUUUUGGGUAGUAAGUUUGAACAGCACAUCACCAAAAGAAUAUUGGAAUGAAAUUAAGUCAUUCCUAAGGAUCAAUGACCACGAUGCCAAGUGGAAGAGAAUGAUAGUCUUUCUGUUGUGAUAAUUAUGGAAAGAGCAAAAUGAACACAAUCUUUAAGGAUAUAAACAUUCAAGUAAAUCAUCCAGUAAGUGCAGGGUUGAGAUAUUUGAAUGAGUUUCUGAGCAAUAUUCCAAAUACAUGUCCAAUACAAUCAUGAUUUGAUCAAAUUGACAUGAAAUAGGAAAGACCUGCUAGAGAAAUAGUUAAAAUUAAUUUUAAUGGGACGGUGAGUGGCACGAAAAAUAGAGGUUUAAUUGCGGUAAUUAUUCAAAAUGAAGAAAAGGAUCGGUCCUAAGCUGAAGGUGCAAGAGAUUCAUAAGAAUAAUUGACUCUUUAAUUCUAGAAGCAAUAGUAACAAGAGAGGCCGCUAGUGUAGCAGCUAACUAUAAAGUCAGAAGAGUUUAUAUUGUAGGAAAUUCUAUAAAAAUCGUUCAAAUUUUAAAAGGAAACUAAACUUAGUCUAGCCAUUAUUUAAAUAUUACUUUUAGUUAUAUCACUAGAAAGAAGAAUAAAACAGCCCAUUAUUUAGAAAAAGGAAACUAAUCAAUGAUUUUUUUUUUAAUUUUUGACUUAAUUAAAUUUUGUAUUUUUCAUUUUAUCCAUUAAGGGUCAGGAAUAUAAUUCUUAAAAAAAAAAAGAAAAUAGUAGUCUUCAAAGGACAUAAGUGGAGAAGGAUUUUUUUUUAAUUAAUUAAUGGAGAAGUUAAAGUCAAACUAAUUAGGCAUUCACAGGUGAAAAGUGGAUAUAAAUAAAUAUGAAAAAUUUAAUACUUCACUCCCUCAAUUUCUAAUUUUCAACUAAAAAAGUUAAAUUAAUUAGAUGUGACAUGCCAACAUGCUUUUUCUGCCAUUAUAUUGUUCUUUUUCCCAUUCGCUCCAUUAAAUUCACCCUUUAUUUUCUUUUUACAAUUUUGCAUUCAAUUAGAUAUAAUAAUAUCUGUAAUCCUUUAAAAAUAUCAAUUUAAACCUAUAAUUUUGAAUACAUGCUUCUGAAAAAUAGUAUAAUUUUAUUGUACUUUUACAAGUAAUUGAAGGGAGAAAUUUGUAGAUAAUAAAAAAUAAUUUAGAUUGUGAAUCAAUAUUAAAUUAAAAUACUUAAAUUUGUAGAGAGAAAAGAAAAAUAUAAUGGGUGAAUUAAUUGUGAAAAUGUAAAGAAAAAAGACAAAAAAAAAAAAAGAAAAAGAAAAAGAAAACAUCCAAGUAAAAUUUCUCGAAAUUAAUUGAAGUAAGUUUAGAAAUAUGCUAUAUAUAUAGCUCUUGCUCGCAAGUGGAUCACUUUUUCCUAACUUUAUUCAAUUUUUCACUAAAAAAAGCAAUAAAUCUUGUAGACUGUGACAACACUCCACUAAUACUUUUAGACUCCACCAAUUCCAACUUCACAAGUAUCACAUUUACUCUCAAAAAGUUUAUUAAAAUCGAGUAGAGUAAAAAUAGAAACAAAAAUAAGCUUAUUUUUAUUCUCUUUAAAACUCUUAUUGACAGCGUCUGUCCACAUAAAUUUAUGUACUCUCUUUUUUUAAGCAAUUUGUGAUAGAGGCAACGAUACUGCUGAAAUUUCUAAUAAAUUGUCGAUAAAAAAUAGCAAGGCCAUAAAAGCUGUGAACUUUAUAAAUAGUUUUAGAGAUAGGCCAAUUCCGUAUUACUUCUACCUUCUUCUCAUUAACAUGUAUUCAUUCUACACUAACAACAAAUUUUAAAAACAGAACGCGCUCCGUCAUAUAAAUACACUUCUUAAGAUUAAUAACCAAUUCAUUUUCUUGCAACGCUGUCAUGACUUGACGGAGAUGCUGUAAAUGUUUUUUUUUGAUGCGACUAAAAAUGAAAAUGUCAUCAAAAUAAACAAUCAUAAAUUUACGUAAGAAAUGACGCAAAACCAAAUUCAUGAGUCAUAUAAAAGUGUUAGGUGCAUUCAUCAAAUCAAAUGAUAUAACCAGCCAUUCAUACAAGUCUUCCUUAGUGUUGAAGGCGAUUUUCUCUUAGGGUUUAAGCUUCAAGAUUAAUAACCAUGAUUAAUUUUCGUAGAACUAUCAAUAAAAAUUAUCUUGAGAAUUAUAGAAUAUUAUAAUGUGUGUCAUAGCCACCCUUUCCUAUUUGAGCAAACAUGGCCCCAUUGUUUAUUCUUGAAGCAUAAACCCUAAGAGAAAAUCAUUAUGCUUGAAUCGACUUUGAGGCCCUAUGAGUUUGAGAUCAACUUAAUAAAACAACAAUUUUUUUUUAAAAAAAAAAGAAAUUUCAUGAUUUAUUCAAUUAGACAUAAUUAAAAUAAAUUGAAAUUUAAUAAAUUAGUCAUGAUAAAUGUUUAUUUUAUCCUCAUCAUGAAAUUCAAUUUUCUUUAGUAAUCAUUAAAUUUAAUUACUAGUUUGAUAAUCAUUGGUAUAAUUUUUUUUUAUUAUACAAUUAAUAUUACUUAAUGAAAAGUUUACUCGAUGAAUCAUAAUAUUUAAAAAUUAAUGAAAAGUUUACUUAAUGAAUCAUAAUAUCUAAAAAUUAUUCGAUUUUAAUUUUAGUACGAUUCUAAUUAAGAAUUAAAAUUCAAACUAAACAUUUAAUUCUUUAAUUUUUAAGAGUUAUAUUAAAAAUUAAAUUUUGAUAUAAUUUUAAAUAAUAUCGAUAUAGUUUCAGUUUAAUUUUAAUUUUAAUUUUUAAAAAUAAAGUUAUAGUAUUUUUAUAUUUAUUUUAAAAUAUUAAAUAAUUAACAUUAAAAUAAUAAUAAAAAAAUAUUAUAUAUAAUUCUCUACUAAUAUAUAAUUCACUCAUAUGAUUAAAAAUUAUAAAAUAAUUAAUAUAUUUAUAUAUGAAAUAGUAAAUAUAUAGAUACAAACAUCUUUAUAUAAUUUAUUAAAUUAUAAUUAACAAAUUAAAUUAUUUAAAUCAUAUUUAUUAAAAAUCUCUAAUAACUAAUUAAAUUAUAUAAUUAUUUUAUAAUAUUACUAAUAAUUAAAUAAUUAAAAGAGUGAUUUAUAUUUAAAUUAUAUAAAUAAUUUAAUUUAUAAAAAUAAUUUGAUAAUAUUAACUAUAAAAAUAAUCAAAUAAAAAGUAUAUAUACACGUAUUCAAUGAACUAAAUUCUUAGAGUCUCAAAUGUCCUGAUCCAAGACAGAUUAGUAAUCUUAACAUUUUCCAACUUUUAUGAUCAUCAUCAGUGCAUGCCACCAAAAUCUGCAGAGUUGUUGAGCUUAGUUUCUACCAUUUCACUGCGACAGACAUAAUUCAAUAAGUUUCAGUACCUGAAAGGGAGCAGCUAGAUUCCUUUUUGUUCCCAAGAAGGUGAAAUUUCCUGAUCAUGUAUAGCAAUAAGAUGGAUGGUCACAAAUUGAAUAACGGAUAAGUUGAUCAGAACAAAAGGAAAACACCCAAUUUGUUCCUCUGCCAUUAACAUCUUGUUUAGGAGAAAACAAAGUGAUAGAAUUCAAUUCAAUCGUGCUAAAAAAAUCCAUGAAUUCACAUGUUCGGAUACUGAAAUAAUAGAAUCCAAUUAAAUAUCAGUAUUUGAAAUAAUUGAAAGGUCAACUGAAUUGAAAAAAAGAUGCUCACAUCUCUAUAGUGCUGCAUUGUUUCAGAAUAAGUACUACAGGAAUAUUUACCUCAUUGUUGGAGUGCUGCAAAGUCAUCUUUAACUGGGAAGGACUGCAAAAUCAUCUAUACCAACAAAGGGGAUAUCAGAAAUGAUAGGCCAGCUGUGAAUAUCUAUGCAUUCAAGUGUAGCAGGAAGGCCCUCAGCUGGGAAGGACUGCAGUUUUGGGCACCACCAAAUUGAUAAUUUUUCAAGAGAGGUGAGCUUUUGGAUACCCCUGGAUAUGGAUUUUAGAUUCUUGAAUCCAAUAAUGAAUAGGUGGGUAAGAGAAGUGGGAAGCAGAAAGCCGUCGUCAUCUGGAAAGGAAAUAAAAUCUCCAGUUGACUCCACGUUUAGAACCAAACUUCUAAGAGAGACGAGUCUGUGGAGUCCCCACUCUAGCAUUGGCUGUUUCAUAUUCAAGCACUCUCGAAUAUGAAGGGAAGUUAGGUUAGGGGGUAAACAACCUCCUUCUAAGGACUCCAUACCUUCACAUACUGAUAUAUCUAUAGAUUGAAGGGAAGUGAGGUUUUGCAUCCGAUUGGGUAGAGACCUCAAAUUUUUGCACCAGGAAAUUUGAAAUGACACAAGCUUGGGGUUGGGCAAUCCCAUCUCUGGGAAAAACUCUAAUUGAUGACAGCCCCCUAUUUCUAACUGUUGGAGACUUUGAAAGUCUUGCAUAUGAUUGGAUAGAGACCUCAAUCCUUCACAGUGAGCUAUUGUUAAAGAGAUAAGAGAAGGGAGAGGCAAUUCCUUCCCUGGAAACGACUCUAAUUGAGGACACUUCUCUAUGUGUAAUUCUGUAAGAUGAGAAAGCCCACAGUAUAGCGAGUUUAAAAAUUGUGGCGUCCAGUUGUGAAUUCGAAGAGUCUUAAGGGAAUAUGGAAACUUUCCAUUUGAAGAGCAUCUGAGGGAUUCACAUCCAGAGAUAUACAAUUUCUCGAGAUGAGACGUCUCGCCACUGUAAUUACUAGGACACACAAUUCCUUCCGGCAUAGACUCCAAUGAUUCACAGCUUGUAAUACGAAGACGUAUCAUGUUGUGCGGCAAACCCCCUGUUGGGAAGGAGACUAAACUUCUACAUCGCCUUAUAGUCAAAUAUUUGAGAGAUUUGAGGUCUUUCAGUCCACUUGGCAACUCCUUCAGAUUUGGACACUCAUAUAUUUUCAAAACUUCAAGAUUGCAAGGCAAAAGCCCUGGCUCUCCAUCUACCAACGACACAAGCUCAUCACAUAACGCGAUUUCCAAACAGUUUAGACUAGUAAGACAGGUGGCAUUAGUCACACUCCUGAGAAUUGCCUCUUGACAUCUUCUAAUAGAGUGCUGUAAGUGAUGGGAGAACUUUUGGUAAUUCAACCAAAAGCGGGCAAUCAACGAUGAAAAGUUUUUCCAGUGAAGGAAGGAAGGUGGGCAAUUUCCCAACCAACUUGGGACAAUUUCGUAUUUGGAGUUGAUGCAGCUUAGGAAAUUUUGGCACAGAAUCUUCACCCAGACCAUUAGACCAAGCCCACAGCUCCCACUCACCCAUACUUCUAAUCUCUAGUUCUUCCAAACAAGAAAAACAUGAAUCAUCCUCAUAAAACUCAACACCCACUUCUUUCACUCCUCUCAUAUCUCCUAUGCUCAACCUUUUUAAUGACUUUAAUCGUCCAAGUGGUGGCAAUGAUGUCAUUUGGCGACACUUCCAUAGCUGCACCUGCACCAUGCCAGAGAAUGAAGGCUCACCCAGCCAUAAUGGGAAUUUCCUACCACCAAAUGAUGUAAUUGAUAGGCUUGACAGACUUUGAUAUGGCUGAACUGAGUUGAGAACUUGCUCUUCAUGACUUGGGUUUCUCAAAUCAUCAAAACGUUCAUCCGCUUCAGUCCAUUCCAAGUGCAAUUCAGUGAUACCAGGCUUAUCCUCCAAAUUGACAAAACCCGCAUCUCGAAUAUCUGCCACUUCCACAUUCUCUAAACUUGUAAUAUGAAGCUGCCCUCGAAGAUCACAAAGUUUCUUUAGCACCGUGAUCCGACCAUUGUUUUUCCCCAUGAUAAAUUUGGUCAACACGCAGAGACUAGUCAACUUACCAAUAUGUGGUGGCAUCUCUUUCAAUUUCCUUGUGCCAAUAAUGUCAAGAUGCUGCAAGUUGAGUAAAUUGCAUAUGCCUUUAGGUAACUCAAUAAGCUCAUCACAAUCACGCAACUUUAAUGUCUGUAAGUUGAAGAGUUUAUCCACUGAUUCAGGCAAUCCUUGGAUUGGAGUAUCAGAUAGGUUAAGGUAGCGUAAGUGCUUUAAGUCACCAAAAGAAUUUGGCAACUCCUCAAUCUCAUAACCAGCUAGAGAUCGUGACUUUAAGCAUUUUAAUUUUGGCACCAACUCAUGCACCACCUUACUAGUAAUGUGGCAUCUAAUCCGAUCCUCCCGCACGGAUAAAAAUGUGCGCAAAUUCUUCAUUUCACAGAAGCUUUGAAAUCUUUGAAAAGUGUUCAUAAAAUGAGGAAUAAAUGAAGAAUGUCUAAUCUUUGCAAAUGAUUUUGCAUUCUCCAACUUACCAACCAUAUGCAAACAUAUUUCUCUGCUAACAAAGCAAGCUAAAUCAACAAUUAGGUCAUGCAUUAUAUAUUUUGAUUUAUUAUCAUUUGAUUGUUGAAAAAAUGAUCUUGAUAAUAAAUCAUCAAAAUAUUUAUGACCCAAACCUUCACUAUCUUUCAUUUUCUUCUGGUCAUACAAGAAACCCUCAGCCAUCCACAGCAAAACCAAUUCAUUCCUAUCAAACUCGCGAUCCUUUGGUAGUAUUGCGCAAUAAGAGAAACAUCGCUUUAAAUGAGGUGGAAGAUGAAGAUAGCUCAACUUCAAGGCUGGAAGGAUAUUGCUCCUAUUGUCUGGUAAUUCCCACAUCUCACUGCUCAACACUUCCUUCCACAAAUCAGGAUUUGGUUUACCCUUUAAGAUGCCUCCAAGAGAUUUUGCUGCCAAAGGUAAUCCUCCACAUCUUUUGACAAUCUCCUCACCCAUUUGUUUCAGCUCCAAGUGCGCGUCAAAAUUAUUUGCUCCCAAAGCAUGCUGGGCAAACACAGACAUGCAUUCAUUGUGUGACAGCUUCUUAAGAGCAUAUGCUUGAGUCGUACCCAUCAUUAAUGAAACAUCCUGACUUCGAGUCGUGACGAUAACUCUGCUUUGAGGAGCCCCUGCUUCAAACGGACCCCAAAACAGAGUCCAUUCCUCAUAGUUCUGGGUCCACACAUCAUCUAGGACAACUAAAAACUUAUUUCCAGACAACUUUUGCUUCAAUUUUACCUGAAGCACAUUUAAAUCUUUAUCAUCACCACCAUCACCCAGCUGAAGAAGAAAUGUUUUUGUGACCCUGGAAACAUCAAAAUCUUCACCAACAGACACCCAGGCUUUUAAAUCAAACUCCAACAUGGGAUCAUUGUAGACUAGCUGAGCUAGAGUUGUCUUGCCAAGGCCUCCCAUCCCAACUAUGGAGAUCACAGAUACCUGGGCAUCACUUGUCUCAGCAUUCAACAAUUUCAACAUC
rnacentral:lncRNA from 1 species